rnacentral:rRNA from 1 species
GACGAAGGUGGCAAGCGUUGUUCGGAAUCACUGGGCUUAAAGAGCACGUAGGCGGCCCUUCAAGUGCCUUGUGAAAUCCCCCGGCUCAACCGGGGAAUUGCAUGGCAGACUGUAGGGCUUGAGGCAGGUAAGGGCGAGUGGAACUCUUGGUGGAGCGGUGGAAUGCGUAGAUAUCAAGAGGAACGCCGGUGGUGAAGACGACUCGCUGGGCCUGUCCUGACGCUGAGGUGCGAAAGCCAGGGGAGCAAACGGG